GAUGAACGCUGGCGGCGUGCUUAACACAUGCAAGUCGAACGAAGCACUUUAUUUGAUUUCCUUCGGGACUGAUUAUUUUGUGACUGAGUGGCGGACGGGUGAGUAACGCGUGGGUAACCUGCCUUGUACAGGGGGAUAACAGUUGGAAACGGCUGCUAAUACCGCAUAAGCGCACAGCAUCGCAUGAUGCAGUGUGAAAAACUCCGGUGGUAUAAGAUGGACCCGCGUUGGAUUAGCUAGUGGUGAGGUAACGGCCCACCAAGGCGACGAUCCAUAGCCGACCUGAGAGGGUGACCGGCCACAUUGGGACUGAGACACGGCCCAAACUCCUACGGGAGGCAGCAGUGGGGAAUAUUGCACAAUGGGCGAAAGCCUGAUGCAGCGACGCCGCGUGAGCGAAGAAGUAUUUCGGUAUGUAAAGCUCUAUCAGCAGGGAAGAUAAUGACGGUACCUGACUAAGAAGCACCGGCUAAAUACGUG
rnacentral:rRNA from 1 species